CACAAUAUAGGAACCGUGCCUGAAGGCCAAGGGCCACUUUGAUAGAGUGGAUAAUAGGGGUUCAAGUCCCCUCGCUUCCU
rnacentral:tRNA from 1 species